GCUGGGCAUGGUGGUGUGUGCCAGUAGUCCCAGCUACUUGGGAGGCUGAGGCAGGGGGAUCACUUGAGGCCAGGAGUUCAAGGCUGCAGUGAGCCAUGAUUGUGCCACUGCACUGUAGCCUGGACAACAGAGUAAGAUCCUGUCUCAA
rnacentral:SRP_RNA from 1 species